AGAGUUUGAUCCUGGCUCAGAUUGAACGCUGGCGGCAGGCCUAACACAUGCAAGUCGAACGGUAACAUUUCUAGCUUGCUAGAAGAUGACGAGUGGCGGACGGGUGAGUAAUGCUUGGGAACUUGCCUUUGCGAGGGGGAUAACAGUUGGAAACGACUGCUAAUACCGCAUAACGUCUACGGACCAAACGGGGCUUAGGCUCCGGCGCAAAGAGAGGCCCAAGUGAGAUUAGCUAGUUGGUAAGGUAAUGGCUUACCAAGGCAACGAUCUCUAGCUGUUCUGAGAGGAAGAUCAGCCACACUGGAACUGAGACACGGUCCAGACCCCUACGGGAGGCAGCAGUGGGGAAUAUUGCACAAUGGGGGAAACCCUGAUGCAGCCAUGCCGCGUGUGUGAAGAAGGCCUUCGGGUUGUAAAGCACUUUCAGUUGUGAGGAAAAGUUAGUAGUUAAUACCUGCUAGCCGUGACGUUAACAACAGAAGAAGCACCGGCUAACUCCGUGCCAGCAGCCGCGGUAAUACGGAGGGUGCGAGCGUUAAUCGGAAUUACUGGGCGUAAAGCGCACGCAGGCGGUUUGUUAAGCUAGAUGUGAAAGCCCCGGGCUCAACCUGGGAUAGUCAUUUAGAACUGGCAGACUAGAGUCUUGGAGAGGGGAGUGGAAUUCCAGGUGUAGCGGUGAAAUGCGUAGAUAUCUGGAGGAACAUCAGUGGCGAAGG
rnacentral:rRNA from 1 species